rnacentral:tRNA from 1 species
GUCUAGAUAGCUCAGCAGGUUCAGAGCAUAGGAUUGAAGAUCCUGAGGUCAUAGGUUCAAAUCCUAUUCUGGACA